rnacentral:rRNA from 1 species
GAGUUUGAUCGUGGCUCAGAACGAACGCUGGCGGCAGGCCUAACACAUGCAAGUCGAACGCACUCUUCGGAGUGAGUGGCAGACGGGUGAGUAACGCGUGGGAACCUUCCCAAUGGUGCGGAAUAGCCCAGGGAAACUUGGGGGUAAUACCGCAUACGCCUACGGGGAAGAUUAUCGCCAUUGGAUGGGCCGCGUCGGAUUAGCUGUUGGUGAGGUAAUGGCUCACCAAGGCAACGAUCCGUAGCUGGUUUGAGAGAAUGACCAGCCACACUGGGACUGAGACACGGCCCAGACUCCUACGGGAGGCAGCAGUGGGGAAUCUUGGACAAUGGGCGAAAGCCUGAUCCAGCCAUGCCGCGUGAGUGACGAAGGCCUUAGGGUUGU